GAAAGGUUCGAAGAAGCAAAGUAACUCGAUUGCUCACAAAUGAAGGACUGUGGCUGCUGAUAGAAGUAGCGUCGACACCUGGGCUGGACGGGGGUUUGACGCGGCGUUGGGUUAGCAGACCGCGCAAAAUCAACGCGAGUCUUCUCCUGUAAAGUGCGUUGACGGCGGCGGCGUCGAAGGAAGUUGGAUCGGAGCGGCAGCGUGCGGUGGCUGGAAGAGAAACACGAGAAGCAGGAGAG
rnacentral:misc_RNA from 1 species